rnacentral:rRNA from 1 species
AGUGAACGCUGGCGGUAGGCCUAACACAUGCAAGUCGAACGGCAGCACAGUAAGAGCUUGCUCUUACGGGUGGCGAGUGGCGGACGGGUGAGGAAUACAUCGGAAUCUACUUUUUCGUGGGGGAUAACGUAGGGAAACUUACGCUAAUACCGCAUACGACCUACGGGUGAAAGCAGGGGAUCUUCGGACCUUGCGCGAUUGAAUGAGCCGAUGUCGGAUUAGCUAGUUGGCGGGGUAAAGGCCCACCAAGGCGACGAUCCGUAGCUGGUCUGAGAGGAUGAUCAGCAACACUGGAACUGAGACAAGGUCCAGACUAAUACGGGAGGAAGCAGUGGGGAAUAUUGGACAAUGGGAGAAAGCAUGAUCAAGCCAUACAGCGUGGGUGAAGAAGGCCUUCGGGUUGUAAAGCCCUUUUGUGGGGAGAGAAAAGAAGCAGGUUAAUACCCCGCCGUUCUGACGGUACCCAAAGAAUAAGCACCGGCUAACUUCGUG